rnacentral:rRNA from 1 species
UGGGGAAUAUUGCACAAUGGGCGCAAGCCUGAUGCAGCAACGCCGCGUGAGGGACGACGGCCUUCGGGUUGUAAACCUCUUUUAGUAGGGAAGAAGCGAAAGUGACGGUACCUGCAGAAAAAGCACCGGCUAACUACGUGCCAGCAGCCGCGGUAAUACGUAGGGUGCGAGCGUUGUCCGGAAUUAUUGGGCGUAAAGAGCUCGUAGGCGGUCUGUCGCGUCUGCUGUGAAAACCCGAGGCUCAACCUCGGGCCUGCAGUGGGUACGGGCAGACUAGAGUGCGGUAGGGGAGAAUGGAAUUCCUGGUGUAGCGGUGGAAUGCGCAGAUAUCAGGAGGAACACCGAUGGCGAAGGCAGUUCUCUGGGCCGUAACUGACGCUGAGGAGCGAAAGCGUGGGGAGCGAACAGGAUUAGAUACCCUGGUAGUCCACGCCGUAAACGUUGGGCGCUAGAUGUGGGGACCAUUCCACGGUUUCCGUGUCGCAGCUAACGCAUUAA